GAUGAACGCUGGCGGCGUGCCUAAUACAUGCAAGUCGAGCGAACGGACGAGAAGCUUGCUUCUCUGAUGUUAGCGGCGGACGGGAGAGUAACACGUGGAUAACCUACCUAUAAGACUGGGAUAACUUCGGGAAACCGGAGCUAAUACCGGAUAAUAUUUUGAACCGCAUGGUUCAAAAGUGAAAGACGGUCUUGCUGUCACUUAUAGAUGGAUCCGCGCUGCAUUAGCUAGUUGGUAAGGUAACGGCUUACCAAGGCAACGAUGCAUAGCCGACCUGAGAGGGUGAUCGGCCACACUGGAACUGAGACACGGUCCAGACUCCUACGGGAGGCAGCAGUAGGGAAUCUUCCGCAAUGGGCGAAAGCCUGACGGAGCAACGCCGCGUGAGUGAUGAAGGUCUUCGGAUCGUAAAACUCUGUUAUUAGGGAAGAACAUAUGUGUAAGUAACUGUGCACAUCUUGACGGUACCUAAUCAGAAAGCCACGGCUAACUACGUGCCAGCAGCCGCGGUAAUACGUAGGUGGCAAGCGUUAUCCGGAAUUAUUGGGCGUAAAGCGCGCGUAGGCGGUUUUUUAAGUCUGAUGUGAAAGCCCACGGCUCAACCGUGGAGGGUCAUUGGAAACUGGAAAACUUGAGUGCAGAAGAGGAAAGUGGAAUUCCAUGUGUAGCGGUGAAAUGCGCAGAGAUAUGGAGGAACACCAGUGGCGAAGGCGACUUUCUGGUCUGUAACUGACGCUGAUGUGCGAAAGCGUGGGGAUCAAACAGGAUUAGAUACCCUGGUAGUCCACGCCGUAAACGAUGAGUGCUAAGUGUUAGGGGGUUUCCGCCCCUUAGUGCUGCAGCUAACGCAUUAAGCACUCCGCCUGGGGAGUACGACCGCAAGGUUGAAACUCAAAGGAAUUGACGGGGACCCGCACAAGCGAUGGAGCAUGUGGUUUAAUUCGAAGCAACGCGAAGAACCUUACCAAAUCUUGACAUCCUUUGACAACUCUAGAGAUAGAGCCUUCCCCUUCGGGGGACAAAGUGACAGGUGGUGCAUGGUUGUCGUCAGCUCGUGUCGUGAGAUGUUGGGUUAAGUCCCGCAACGAGCGCAACCCUUAAGCUUAGUUGCCAUCAUUAAGUUGGGCACUCUAAGUUGACUGCCGGUGACAAACCGGAGGAAGGUGGGGAUGACGUCAAAUCAUCAUGCCCCUUAUGAUUUGGGCUACACACGUGCUACAAUGGACAAUACAAAGGGCAGCGAAACCGCGAGGUCAAGCAAAUCCCAUAAAGUUGUUCUCAGUUCGGAUUGUAGUCUGCAACUCGACUACAUGAAGCUGGAAUCGCUAGUAAUCGUAGAUCAGCAUGCUACGGUGAAUACGUUCCCGGGUCU
rnacentral:rRNA from 1 species